GUACACGCUGUGACUAGCAUAUCAAUAAGCGGAGGAAAAGAAACUAACAAGGAUUCCCCUAGUAACGGCGAGUGAAGCGGGAAGAGCUCAAAUUUGAAAUCUUAAAGGGUUUCCCUUUACGAAUUGUAGUUUAAAGAAGUGUUUUCUGUUGAGGUUUUGGUAAAAGUUCUUUGGAAUAGGACAUCAUAGAGGGUGAGAAUCCCGUAUUUGACCUUUACUUUCAACUUUGUGAUACACUUUCAAAGAGUCGGAUUGUUUGGGGAUGCAGUCCAAAAUGGGUGGUAAAUUUCAUCUAAAGCUAAAUAUUGGCGAGAGACCGAUAGCGAACAAGUACCGUGAGGGAAAGAUGAAAAGAACUUUGAAAAGAGAGUUAAACAGUACGUGAAAUUGUCAAAAGGGAAGCGUUUGACACCAGUGUUGUUUUUCUGAAAAUCAAUUAAAGAACUGUUUAUGCUAAGUUGUUUAGACUUUAUCAGCUAACUGUUUAGUUUUGAGCUUUUCUUUAAUGCACUUUUCAGUUAACAAGUCAACAUCAAUUUCUUUUGCUGUAAAAAAGCUUGAGGAAGGUGGCUUGAGAUUCGUCUUAAGUGUUUAUAGCCUCUUGCCUAUGCAGUCGGAGAGAUUGAGGUCUGCAGCGUAGAUCCUUCGGGGCUAAAUGCAUUUGUGCUAAGUUAUAGCAUUUUAUAGACAACUUGUUGACUAUGAUUUGUCUUGUAGCUUACUCGCUUAUGUUAUUUUACCUACGCUUAGGAUGUUGACGCGCGUGUGUGCGUG
rnacentral:rRNA from 1 species